UACAGGCUGCGUUGCACGUAUUGAUUAUAAAGUUUAACCUUUGAUCUGAAAUAGGGAGUUUAAGACGGGAUCGGAAUGAUAGGCUCCGGAUUUAUCCGGAGACGUGCAGGAACAUCCCCGCGACACCCACUUAGUGGAGUGACGGUUUUAAACUUUUUAAUUCUCCUACGGCAAUGCGGCUAUCA
rnacentral:other from 1 species